rnacentral:rRNA from 1 species
UGCCUCAGACAUGCAAGUCGAACGAGAAAGUCCCCUUCGGGGGAUAAGUAAAGUGGCGUCCGGGUGAGUAACACGUAGGUAAUCUACCUUCGGGUGGGGAAUAACCCAGGGAAACUUGGGCUAACACCGCAUAAUGCAGCGGCACCACAUGGUGACAGUUGUUAAAGCGGGGGAUUUUAGGACCUCGCGCCUGAAGAGGAGCCUGCGGCGGAUUAGCUAGUUGGUAAGGUAACGGCUUACCAAGGCGACGAUCAGUAGCCGGUCUGAGAGGACGGUCGGCCACACUGGAACUGAGACACGGUCCAGACUCCUACGGGAGGCAGCAGUGGGGAGUUUUUCGCAAUGGGGGAAACCCUGACGAAGCAAUGCCGCGUGGAUGAUGAAGUGUCUCGGUACGUAAAAUCC